AUUGAACGCUGGCGGCAGGCCUAACACAUGCAAGUCGAACGGUAACAGAAAGCAGCUUGCUGCUUUGCUGACGAGUGGCGGACGGGUGAGUAAUGUCUGGGAAACUGCCUGAUGGAGGGGGAUAACUACUGGAAACGGUAACUAAUACCGCAUAACGUCGCAAGACCAAAGAGGGGGACCUUCGGGCCUCUUGCCAUCGGAUGUGCCCAGAUGGGAUUAGCUUGUUGGUGGGGUAACGGCUCACCAAGGCGACGAUCCCUAGCUGGUCUGAGAGGAUGACCAGCCACACUGGAACUGAGACACGGUCCAGACUCCUACGGGAGGCAGCAGUGGGGAAUAUUGCACAAUGGGCGCAAGCCUGAUGCAGCCAUGCCGCGUGUAUGAAGAAGGCCUUCGGGUUGUAAAGUACUUUCAGCGGGGAGGAAGGGAGUAAAGUUAAUACCUUUGCUCAUUGACGUUACCCGCAGAAGAAGCACCGGCUAACUCCGUG
rnacentral:rRNA from 1 species